UUGACAUCCAGAGAAUUUAGCAGAGAUGCUUUAGUGCCUUCGGGAACUCUGAGACAGGUGCUGCAUGGCUGUCGUCAGCUCGUGUUGUGAAAUGUUGGGUUAACGUCCGCAACGAGCGCAACCCUUAUCCUUUGUUGCCAGCACGUAAUGGUGGGAACUCAAAGGAGACUGCCGGUGAUAAACCGGAGGAAGGUGGGGAUGACGUCAAGUCAUCAUGGCCCUUACGAGUAGGGCUACACACGUGCUACAAUGGCGCAUACAAAGAGAAGCGACCUCGCGAGAGCAAGCGGACCCCAUAAAGUGCGUCGUAGUCCGGAUUGGAGUCUGCAACUCGACUCCAUGAAGUCGGAAUCGCUAGUAAUCGUAAAUCAGAAUGUUACGGUGAAUACGUUCCCGGGCCUUGUACACACCGCCCGUCACACCAUGGGAGUGGGUUGCAAAAGAAGUAGAUAGCUUAACCUUCGGGAGGGCGUUUACCACUUUGUGAUUCAUGACUGGGGUGAAGUCGUAACAAGGUAAGCGUAGUGCU
rnacentral:rRNA from 1 species